GUUUUAAUCUUAGUGGUAGUCUGGGGCAGCCAGAUUUGGUUUGUUCAGCUGUCAAUUCUUGUGGCUAUUGGGGUAAAUUUUUGUGCCCUCUGGUACCUGUUAAAGUCAGUAUGCCCAUUCCUCUUGUUAUGAUAAACACACUUUUUUAGUACCUAUGAUUGAUUGUGCAUUUUGUUUCCAUGUGAACAUCUAAAAUCUUUUCACAGCAUACUAAAGGAAAUACAAGCCUAGACUAACACAAUAUCGUUUAGUAAACUGCUAAAACAUUUUUAACUGAAGUAUUCUUUAUAAAAUCAUGAACAUUAAACAUUAUCUGGUCUGUUCUAAAUGGACAUGGUAUAUUGUAUGCUUUCUGUUGUUAAAAUAACAACUCAAAUCUUGCGAUUAAAUUAAGUACUAUUUUUGAUUGGAGCAUAAUUUAUCAAUUUGCACCAAAAUAAGACUGGGUGUGUUUUACUUCUUGGUGUUCUUAAUAGGGUGUGGUCUUUUUCCUUCCAAAUUAACGAUGUAUGCUCUUAUGAUGAAUACAUGUUGUACAGAUCAUUGGUCUCUUGGCCAUAGCCCAGUUUCAGGAGGAGAAGGGAUUUGCAUUGGUGGUUAGAGAUUGAGAGUCAUUUGUGCCCCAAGGCAUACAGAUGGCCACAUGGCGUUACUUCAUGUCAAUACUUACUCGUUGAUUGUAAGUGAUCAUUGUGUGGUGACUUUGCAUUCAUUUGGAAGUGUUUGGAAUUGAUUUAUAGUUGGUCAUUGGCAUUCUCCUGGACAUGAAGAUUGUUACCAUCAAGAUGUUUGGUAAAAAAAGUUGAUGUUGGUGAUUCCUAAUAUAUUCACAGAGAGCGAGAGAUUAUUUCUUUCUCCAGAUUGCAAGG